GAUGAACGCUGGCGGCGUGCCUAAUACAUGCAAGUCGAGCGAACAGACGAGGAUCUUGCUCCUCUGACGUUAGCGGCGGACGGGUGAGGAACACGUGGAUAACCUACCUAUAAGACUGGGAUAACUUCGGGAAACCGGAGAUAAUACCGGAUAAUAUAUUGAACCGCAUGGUUCAAUAGUGAAAGGCGGUUUUUCUGUCACUUAUAGAUGGAUCCGCGCCGCAUUAGCUAGUUGGUAAGGUAACGGCUUACCAAGGCAACGAUGCGUAGCCGACCUGAGAGGGUGAUCGGCCACACUGGAACUGAGACACGGUCCAGACCCCUACGGGAGGCAGCAGUAGGGAAUCUUCCGCAAUGGGCGAAAGCCUGACGGAGCAACGCCGCGGGAGUGAUGAAGGUCUUCGGAUCGUAAAACUCUGUUAUUAGGGAAGAACAAAUGUGUAAGUAACUAUGCACGUCUUGACGGUACCUAAUCAGAAAGCCACGGCUAACUACGUG
rnacentral:rRNA from 1 species